CAUUCGUAGACGACCUGCUUCUGGGUCGGGGUUUCGUACGUAGCAGGCAGCUCCCUCGCUGCGAUCUAUUGAAAGUCAGCCCUCGACACAAGGGUUUGU
rnacentral:rRNA from 1 species